rnacentral:lncRNA from 1 species
GUGCACCAUUCCUCCAGGACAUCAGGUGUGUGUUUCUCCAACUGUCAAUCAAAGACUGAAAGACUCCUGGGUAGAACGCUUGGACUUCAAUCCUGACCGAUACUUACAGGGUAACCCAGCGUCGGGAGAGAAGUUUGCCUAUGUGCCAUUUGGAGCUGGGCGCCAUCAUUGUAUUGGAGAAAAUUUUGCAUAUGUUCAAAUUAAGACAAUUUGGUCCACUAUGCUUCAUUUAUAUGAAUUUGACCUCAUCAAUGGAUAUUUUCUCAGUGUGAAUUAUACAACAAUGAUUCAUACCCCAGAAAACCCAGUAAUCCGUUACAAAAUGAAGAAAGGAA